CCUACGGGAGGCAGCAGUGAGGAAUAUUGGUCAAUGGGCGGACGCCUGAACCAGCCAAGUAGCGUGAGGGAUGAAGGCCCUACGGGUCGUAAACCGCUUUUGCACGGGGAUAACACCCUCCACUUGUGGAGGUCUGCAGGUACCGUGCGAAUAAGGGCCGGCCAAUUCCGUGCCAGCAGCCGCGGUAAUAAGGAAGGCCCGAGCGUUUUCCGGAUUCAUUGGGCUUAAAGGGAGCGUAGGCGGGCGUGCAAGUCAGCGGGAAAAUCGCGCGGCUCAACCGCGCCCCGCAGUUGAAACUGGACGCCUUGAGUUCACGACAGGCAGGCGGAAUGCGUGGUGUAGCGGGGAAAUGCAUAGAUAUCACGAGGAACCCCGAUUGCGAAGGCAGCCUGCCGGGGUGCGACUGACGCUGAGGCUCGAAGGUGCGGGUAUCAAACAGGAUUAGAUACCCGAGUAGUC
rnacentral:rRNA from 1 species